rnacentral:rRNA from 1 species
AACGAACGCUGGCGGCAUGCCUAACACAUGCAAGUCGAACGAGACCUUCGGGUCUAGUGGCGCACGGGUGCGUAACGCGUGGGAACCUGCCCUUAGGUUCGGAAUAACUCCCCGAAAGGGGUGCUAAUACCGGAUAAUGUCUUCGGACCAAAGAUUUAUCGCCUUUGGAUGGGCCCGCGUUGGAUUAGCUAGUUGGUAGGGUAAAAGCCUACCAAGGCGACGAUCCAUAGCUGGUCUGAGAGGAUGAUCAGCCACACUGGGACUGAGACACGGCCCAGACUCCUACGGGAGGCAGAAGUGGGGAAUAUUGGACAAUGGGCGAAAGCCUGAUCCAGCAAUGCAGCGUGAGUGAUGAAGGACUUAGGGUUGGAAAGCUAUUUUAACCGGGAUGAUAAUGACAGUACCGGGAGAAUAAGAUCCGGCUAACUCCGUG